rnacentral:rRNA from 1 species
GACGAACGCUGGCGGCGUGCUUAACACAUGCAAGUCGAACGGAAAGGCCCUGCUUUUGUGGGGUGCUCGAGUGGCGAACGGGGGAGUAACACGUGAGUAACCUGCCCUUGACUUUGGGAUAACUUCAGGAAACUGGGGCUAAUACCGGAUAGGAGCUCCUGCUGCAUGGUGGGGGUUGGAAAGUUUCGGCGGUUGGGGAUGGACUCGCGGCUUAUCAGCUUGUUGGUGGGGUAGUGGCUUACCAAGGCUUUGACGGGUAGCCGGCCUGAGAGGGUGACCGGCCACAUUGGGACUGGGAUACGGCCCAGACUCCUACGGGAGGCAGGAGUGGGGAAUAUUGCACAAUGGGCGGAAGCCAGAUGCAGCAACGCCGCGUGCGGGAUGACGGCCUUCGGGUUGUAAACCGCUUUCGCCUGUGACGAAGCGUGAGUGACGGUAAUGGGUAAAGAAGCACCGGCUAACUACGUG